CCUACGGGAGACAGCAGUGAGGAAUAUUGGUCAAUGGACGAGAGUCUGAACCAGCCAAGUAGCGUGAAGGAUGACUGCCCUAUGGGUUGUAAACUUCUUUUAUAUGGGAAUAAAAUGUUCCACGUGUGGGAUUUUGUAUGUACCAUAUGAAUAAGGAUCGGCUAACUCCGUGCCAGCAGCCGCGGUAAUACGGAGGAUCCGAGCGUUAUCCGGAUUUAUUGGGUUUAAAGGGAGCGUAGGUGGAUUGUUAAGUCAGUUGUGAAAGUUUGCGGCUCAACCGUAAAAUUGCAGUUGAAACUGGCAGUCUUGAGUACAGUAGAGGUAGGCGGAAUGCGUGGUGUAGCGGUGAAAUGCUUAGAUAUCACGAAGAACUCCGAUUGCGAAGGCAGUUCACUGGACUGCAACUGACACUGAGGCUCGAAAGUGUGGGUAUCAAACAGGAUUAGAUACCCCUGUAGUC
rnacentral:rRNA from 1 species